rnacentral:rRNA from 1 species
GACGACGCUGGCGGUGUGCUUCACACAUGCAAGUCGAACGAGGUAGCAAUACCUAGUGGCGGACGGGUGAGUAACGCGUGGGAAUCUGCCUUUGGAUGGGGGAUAACGGGUCGAAAGACUCGCUAAUACCGCAUAUGACGAAAGUUGAAAGGAGUAAUCCGUCUAAAGAUGAGCCCGCGUCCGAUUAGCUAGUUGGUAGAGUAAAAGCCUACCAAGGCGACGAUCGGUAGCUGGUCUGAGAGGAUGAUCAGCCACAAUGGGACUGAGACACGGCCCAGACUCCUACGGGAGGCAGCAGUGAGGAAUAUUGGACAAUGGAUGGAAAUCUGAUCCAGCCAUGCCGCGUGCAGGAAGACGGCCCUAUGGGUUGUAAACUGCUUUUAUAUGGGAGCAAUAAGGUCUACGAGUAGACCGAUGAGAGUACCAUAUGAAUAAGCAUCGGCUAACUCCGUG